rnacentral:lncRNA from 1 species
UUCCAUUGUCGAGUGGGCUAUUGAGUGUGUGUGCGUGUUUCAGUACUAGAAUAAAAAUCAUACUUGCAUUUGAACAACAUGCACAGUUCAGUAAGUUGGCCAAGCAAUUAAGUGAUACUUUACUAGUAGAAAUCAACCAAUUAAAAAAUUGGUUUUCUCUAUAAGUGAGAUCUUAUCAAUCAGGGAAAUAAGCAAAUAUAAAAUGCAAUGUUGAUCAAAAUCAAGGAGGAGUCUUACCAAUCGUUUACGACUCCCUUUUGUCAUGUUUUCGCUGUUGUUCUCUGUAAUGACCUUGAGGAACUGAAUGGCUGGGAAAAAUAACAGAUGCAACUUUUAUAACCUUUAUAAUGGAAAUGUCAUCCUUUUGUAAUAUUAUGUUGAUUGGAUGUUUGCCAAUAGAAAUUAGUAAGACAAUGAUAUUGUUAAGAGCAUCAAUCUAAUCAGGCAAUAACACAAUAGUGUAAUCCCAUACAUGGAAUGCUAGAAAGUGUUGAGAGAUGAAACUUUAGAAGACGCAGGGCCUGCUUUGCAUGUUGAUCACGUAGGUCAAGGGUAACUUCAUUUUUUAUGUCCUGAUUUCUGAAAAUCAUUUCAUGGAUAAAUCCAUGUUAGAUAAUCACUGAUAGACAUUGACACCAAAAAAUCAUAAACAAUAUCUUAAAUACACUUACUUGACUUCAAACAUUUUCCUUGUACAUUUUUCAUCUGAUUCACGUGCCUUGUUGCUGUAGAAUUUUCCCUGGUAAAAUUUAACACCAUCACAAAGAUGCAGAAAACUAAAGAACUACAAAUUUUUAAGGAUUUGCAAUAAAAAUUUUUAGGGAAGGUACAGGCACAUGCAACUUAACGAAAUAAUUGUGAGCAUAUCAUAUGCAUAUUAUUCACAUUUUCGUUAGAUACUAUAGUUUGCUUUAAGGACAUUUUUGCCUUCUCUUGGUUAUGCAAUUUAACCAUAGAAGUAUUUUGAUAUUCCUCAAUUAUCUCCCAAUUUGUCAUUAACUUAAUUCAAGUGUUUCAUUGUAAUUCACAGCCACCUCUGAGUGAAUCCUUUGGCUAUUAGCCUUACCUUGCAUCUUUUAAGUUUUGACGGAUCCAUCUGAUUUGGACUUCAAUACAUACACUCUUCCUGCAUGUUUUAUUCUGGGGAGUGGUACAAUGUUCCCAGUUCCCAAAUCAUGUACUGGUAAGUCUUGUAUUAGUCUUAAUCUCAAGGAUUCAAUUCCUUUAUUGCUUUCUAGUUUCGUCCACAAAUGAGGGUACUAGCUUCAGCAUAGAUGGUAGUUUCUGAAUAUGAAUCAAUAGAAAACUGGUGAGUUCAGCAUAGUCAGUGGGGGAGAAUUGCAAUGCUAUCUUCCUGUGAAAACAACAUAUUAACAGUAUCCCAUUGUCCAAUACAACUGCAAGGAACAAAACCUCUUUGCUCCUCAAAUGAUUGCAGGGGCCAUAACAUCAUUAGGUUUUUAUGAUUGACCGGAUCGGGGUUUAACAUUCCAUUUUCUUUUCAAAACCAUGGGAAACAAUACUAAGAAAUUUGAUGCCUUUUCUUGUUUGCGGAAAUAAUUAAGGGUUGAAAUACUGAAACAAACCUCUUAGGUUUGAAAGACAAAGGUGACUGCACUUGGUUUGUUCAUGCCCAAAAGAUGAAAUCCAGCCUAUGGCCUAUGGAUUUCCACAAUUCAAGCCUAGUCAAAUUUCCUUUCACAGCACCCAGAAAAUCAGUACAAAUUCCCAAAACUUUUCUCACCAAUAAAAUGUUGAAUGACCAGAAAUGGCCCUAAACAACAACCAUUACGAUUCCUCUAGGGCUAACAUUCACAUUGCCAGUAUGCAAACACCUGAAGUUUCCUUUCUCAACAUGAUCAUUUUUUCCUGUUCAACCUUUUCUCAUGGAGUAGGAUUUAAUCUGAAUCUGGCACCAUGUUGAGGGGAGGAUAGAGAGUUUGCAACAGGGGAGGCUGUUGUAGUUCAAUUCAUGUCUUGAACGUCAAUUAGGACUCUAUUAAAAUGCAAUUCGUAUAACAUUUAUGUUGGAAAAAAAUGAUUGAUAUACUGAGAAUGACAUACAACUACCAACAUCAUACAAUAAUACCACACAAUCACUAAUAAAACUACUAGGCCCUAAGGUUUAGAUAUCCAAUAACACAAAUCAGCAGGUUUUUCAGGUUUACAAGAAGUGUUUUUUAUUUCCAUCAGUAAUAACGUCAACACAUACCUGUUCGGAAAGAUACUUGGCAUGGGAUAUAUUCCCAUUGGAGUAUGCCUCUGCCGCCUGUAGAGAAAUUUAAACUAUUAUACACUAUGCAUUCUUUGCACAUCGUGUGAAAAGUAAUUCUUUAUCUGUUGGAAAAGAAAAUGUAAUUGCAGAGAGAACUUUAUAAAGAAAAUACAUCAAUUUCUAAGAGUUGGAAGCGAGCUUACAGCAUGAUAAUAUGUCUUCAUUGUUUCCCAGUGCUGCCUCACAGUUCUUCUAAGGACUUCAUACUCAUCAACCUCAUCUACUUUAGCUGAACAGAAAGAUAUGGUUAAAAGAAAUUUGAUGAAUGCCAAAAGAUGAUAUAAUUCUAUACACUUGGGAGAACCAACCCAAUUACAUUGGCUUUCAGGAAGUUCAACUGAUAAAACAAGUUACAACCAUUGUAUUGUGUUUAGAUAGCUCUUACUUUCUAUUUCACUUUUCCAAUAUAUUAACAGGAAAAAUAAGUGAGAUACAUAUCCCUACAUAUUCAAGCAGGUAUCAAGAUACAAUGAUAUUUUUUUUAUGAUAAGAUCCAAUGACAUUGACAAAAGAAAAAGCACUAUUUUUUAUGGCGAUAUAAUAUUUGUAGAACAAAGUUAAAAGGAGAAGCAACAACAACCUUAGAUGUUACAGAUGAAACAAAAUACAUUGGGUGCUCCCUAAAGAUGGACAAUAUGAUUACUGUCUGCUGCAGAAAAGUUCAAAUUAUUGCAGUUUUCCCAAUUUUGCAGUCAAAGUGAAGUCGCUCUACCAGUUUCCAAAACUUGCUGCGGUUCCACAUCAGCAGUCGGUGUAGCCUCAGCCUCUUGUAUGAUUACCAUUCUUUGCUUCAUUUCUUUAGUUCGCAUUAAAAGCUUUGGCUCCUGUUCAGGUCUCUCAGGGACAUUAAAUAAUGCUUCCAAAACUUCCCGUUGGAGAACAUGUCUCUGAGCCUCAGAGUCAGGGCUUCCUGUUCCUUUCUUUGCAACAAACCCAGCAUCUUCCCUGCAUUGGAGAAAAUUAUAUUUCUCAGGUGUUGCAAAGCAAAAUCAUACACAUGGUAGAUAUUUUUAAUUCUUUUUUCCUAGGCCAAGUUAUUUCAUCCUUGACACUUAUAGUUGAUAUGGCAAAAAAUUGAGCAAAUUUAUAAAAUCCAAAAUGAAGGAACAAAACACAAACCACUGAAAUAAACAACAUGGGGUCUUCAGGCUAUUCAUGAAUUUGUAAAACUUUUAUAUAAGGAAAGGACUAAACUAUUAGAUUCAAUAUUUAACAUCCAAGGUAUUCAGCUUGAAGCUCCUGCAUGAUAACCAGGGUGCUAAAUAAAUACUAUGGGAUUCCUCCUACAUUCCUUUAUUGACCUAAGCAGAAGGGAAAGUAUCAAAGCAAUGCUAGAAUAGCUAUAGAAAUGGUGUAGGGGCAGAUGCUCCAGGAAUUCUUUUAUUACUUUCCCAAUGCAGAAGUCUCUUGAGUUGCAACACCCGAGAAAAACAGCACAUGCCAUACUCAAAAUUUAUUUGGCCAAUUAAUCACAUUUCUAUGUCCCACAAAGCAUAUAUCUGCUUGAGGCUAUGACUGAGAAGCAUACCUUGAUUCCCUUAGUUAAGAACCCAUGUCACAUAAUUUCUGGGGUUGUCUAUAAAGAGUUAUACAUAUCAGUGAUACAAUGUUUUAAUGGGUGCAACAAGUCUAGAGAAAUGGUAUAUUCAACAACUUAAUAAAACAUAGCCUGACAAUGCAUGUUACAGUUUGUUAUAAAUGACAAAUGAUGCCGACCAAUGGUUUAAAAAACGGAUCGAUGACCCGGAUCGGGCACCUCAAAAACCGAUCCGGAUCGGCGAAUCGGCGAUCCGGAUUGGGAAUCUGUCCGAUUAAAGCUUCAAAAAAAUCCGAAAAAAUUAUUAAAAUUCAUUAUAAAUGUUGUUUUUUAGGAAUCCAAUAAAAAAAUGAGGGUACUACAUUAUUAACUUUCAUUUUUUUUAUCAAUUUGUGAAUAUUGAGAUGUUCUUUCCCUGUAUAAAUUUAUUUUAACUAUUAAAUUUGCAUCACAUAAAAGAAAAAUCAUAGAAUUAUCAUGGAUAAAAUAUAUAAUUAUAUAUGGACUAUUAUAGAGAGUAGACUAAUCAAUGAAAGAAUGGCCAUUAAAAUCUCGUUUUGGCAAAAAACCCUAACCCGCUAAAAAAACCCAAACUAUUACAGCCUAACUAACUAUAAUCCAAAAUUAUUACAACCUCACUAAUUAUAAUAUUAUAUACUGAAAUUAUAAUUAUUAGUUUACAUUUUAUAAUUAUUUUAUUAGACAAAUAAUAACAAAUUAAAAAUAUUUUAUAAUAUUAUCUAAUUUAAAAUGUAUUAUUGACAACUGUAAGAAAAAUAGUACAUUACAUGAUUUAUAAUGUAAAAAUUCAUAAAUAAAAUAAAAUAUUUGGUUAUCACUGUAAUAAUUAAUAAAAUGCGUACAAAUUUUGGAAAUAACACUUCAAUUUUUCAAAAAUUUAUUUUUUUAGGUUUCUAUAAUAAAUUUAGUAAAAGAGAUUGUUAGUUGAAAGAUGGAGAUUUCAAAUAGAAUAAACUUUUUAUUUUUAUUUUUUUUAUACCUUUCAUAUUAUUUACAAAAAUAAUUAUACCACUAUAUACAACAAAAAUAAACGGUUAUAUAAAAAAUUAAUUUUUUUAUUUUUCAUUUUUUUGUGUCUUUUAUGUUAUUUACAAAAAUAUUUAUAUUUAUACCAACCACUAUAUACACAACAAAAAUAUUUAUAUUUAUACCAACCACUAUAUAUACAACAAAAAUGAAACACAUGCCCAAGGGGAUUCGAAAAUAACAAAAAUAUUUAUACCAACCACUAUAUACACAAAAAAAAUGCAACACAUGCCCAAGGAGAUUCAAAUGCAACACAUGCCCAAGGGGGUACCCAAGGGGAUCCGACCUUGGGACCUCAAGUAAAAAAUUCAAAAUCAUAACCAUCAAGCCAUCUAACUACAUGUGAUUAUAAACUGUUGNNNNNNNNNNNNNNNNNNNNNNNNNNNNNNNNNNNNNNNNNNNNNNNNNNNNNNNNNNNNNNNNNNNNNNNNNNNNNNNNNNNNNNNNNNNNNNNNNNNNNNNNNNNNNNNNNNNNNNNNNNNNNNNNNNNNNNNNNNNNNNNNNNNNNNNNNNNNNNNNNNNNNNNNNNNNNNNNNNNNNNNNNNNNNNNNNNNNNNNNNNNNNNNNNNNNNNNNNNNNNNNNNNNNNNNNNNNNNNNNNNNNNNNNNNNNNNNNNNNNNNNNNNNNNNNNNNNNNNNNNNNNNNNNNNNNNNNNNNNNNNNNNNNNNNNNNNNNNNNNNNNNNNNNNNNNNNNNNNNNNNNNNNNNNNNNNNNNNNNNNNNNNNNNNNNNNNNNNNNNNNNNNNNNNNNNNNNNNNNNNNNNNNNNNNNNNNNNNNNNNNNNNNNNNNNNNNNNNNNNNNNNNNNNNNNNNNNNNNNNNNNNNNNNNNNNNNNGUGCACGUGUGAGUGUGCGUGCGGCACGCUCGCACGUGCACUCGGACACACGUGUGCGCGUGUGAGUGUGCGUGGGGUACGCUCGCACGUGUGCUCGGACACACGUGUGCGCGUGUGAGUGUGCGUGGGCACGCUCGCACGUGCGCUCGGACACACGUGUGCGUGCGGCACGCUCGCACUUGCCCUCGGACACACGUGUGUACGUGUGAGUGUGCGUGGGGCACGCUCUUACGUGUGCUCGGACACACGUGUGCGCGUGUGUGUGCGUGGGGCACGCUCGCACGUGCGCUCAGACACACGUGUGCGCGUGUGAGUGUGCGUGUCAUGUGUUACGUGUGUGAACCGGAUGGGAACCGGCGGUUCCACUCUAGAACCGUGCUGAACCGGAUGGGAACCGACGGUUCCACUCUAGAACUGGGCUGAACCGGAUGGGAACCGACAAUUCCACUCUAGAACCGGGCUGAAACGGAUGGGAACCGGCGGUUCCACUCUAGAACCGGGCUGAAACGGAUGGGAACCGGCGGUUCCACUCUAGAACCGGACGGUUCCCGGUUUUCGGUUGGAACCGGCACGGGCACGCGUGUUUUCGAGUCGAACCGGGCGAGUCCGGUUUGACUCGCCGUUUUUUAAAACACUGAUGCCGACACAUUCUGAUCGGAUUCGAUGGACAAUGAAAGAUACCCUUAAUAAGCUCAGAUGCCAUUCAGUUUUUUUAUUAUUUAUUUUUGUUUACUGAUUUAUGUUGCCUUUUUAUAAUUUGAAAGGUCUUCAAUCAGUUUCAGUAGCUUUUUCACAUCAUUUUUAUGCCUAGAUUCAGUUUGCACCACAAUGUUUUACACUUGUUUAACAGCAAGUGCUAUGCUAACAGUUAAGGUAUGACAUUUACAACUGCAUCAUAAAAAAAGGCUUCAAACAUUCCAUGUCAAACUGCAUCAUAAAUGAAGGCUUGAAAACAAACUCUGAAAGGUUCAGUAGAUUUCAUGCUCCUAUGUAAAGGCAAUUAGAUCUAUACAGUAUUGAAUUCAUCCAACAACAAACAGUAGUUCAUAUUGUUGAGAAAAGAUACAUUUCUUUACCUCAGACAAGUAAAAAAAACCCUUUGGUAAGUUCUGUUGAAAGUGUGAAGGCGAUUAAAUAGUUAUAAAGUUGUUCCCAAAUAAAAAGAAUGCCCUUGAGUGCAAUAUACAAACAAAAAAUUAUAAAAAGAUAAUAAGAGCCAAAUGAUCGAAAUUCUCUUCACCUGCGAGACACUUCUGCAACAUGAUGUUGAUCAUCUGGUAAAGGUAAUUCCAUUGUUGUUUCAUCAUUCAUUAACUGCACAAUGAACUCACCCGACAAAACAACUUAGAUUCUAGAAGUAAUUCAAUGAUUAAAGUGCUCAAAUAGGACUAGAGCAUACAAUUUUUUUUUCUGUUUGGAUUUUUUCUAUAACGCAGCAUAAAAAGGAGUUAUUGGGUUUGUUUUCAAGAUUCAAAAGGGAGUGAAAUCAUAACACACCCAAGCGGACCAUUUUUAUUUCAUUGAGACAAUAAAGUUUAUAGCUAAAAAUUCUGUAGGCAAUGAGUUUCAUGUUAGCAAUACUCUAUUACACCAUGUGAUGUCCAGAAACUCUAUGGCACCAGGGGACAAUAAACUAUAUGGCUCCAGAAUCUACAGCUCAGGUUUCAUCAGAUCAUAGCUCAAAUAUGAUUUCAUCGGGAAAAAUAAAUUCUGCAGCUGCGAAUUCCACAGGCAGUGCCGCAGGAGUAUGCACUGCAGCCUAGUUGCAUGGAGAUCAUUAUAUCAAUUUCUGAAGGGAUGUCUCCAGAUUAAAUUUUUAGUCUUCAAUCCACAUCUCAACUUUCUAGAUCCACCACGAAUUACAGUACAGUUUUUGGUACCACAUGCAAGCUGCAGCCAAGUCACUAAAAAGACUUUCCAAGAUAUCUUUGAAAUUUAUGAGAAAAGUCAUCCCAUGAAAAACCAGAUAGAUAAUUUCAUUAUACUAUUCAAGUGUAUUUCAAGCCUCUAGUUCAUUUCCUCGUCCAUUAAUUACAUAGAAAGUUUCCUUCAGUUUUCCAAAAAAUUGGAAAUGCAUAUCUUGGCUAUACCUCUUGACAAUAGUCCGAUGUGUUCUUUCAGUAUCAACAACACCUGCAUCUUGAAUCAACCUUUUUUGGUCUAUGUGCUAGUCAAGAUUGUUAUUUCCUAAGCAACCAUAACAUCAACUAAGUAUUGUGUUAGCCAUAAUAUUAUUUUUCACAAAUGUUCGUGCAACUAUGCAUCUGCACAUCUGUUGAAAGGUAUGUAUACGUGAUCCGCAAACACUGUUUUCUGUCACUUCAGUUCUUUGAAAUUUGAAUUUACUCCUACAUUUCAAGUGAAAAUACUAUUGAGAAUGGCAACACAAAACCUCCUUUUCUAGUUUUUGCUAAGGACAUGUUUUUUCUUGAAUGGUUGAAAAAGAUAAUAGCAGCUAUUCAGAUAAAAGUGACAGAAACCUAGCAUAUCACAUCGAACAUCCACAUAUGUUUUUCAGCAGAAACAGCUAACAUAAAAUUUCUUGCCACCAUUUAAGGUUUGCUAUCAUCAUAAAUGACUACCAUCUCAUAGUGCAUGUGCAAAAGAACUAUGUCAUCACGCUUCCAAAUAAGAUGAGUUCUCAAGAAGGAUUCAAGUAGUGAAUACAAGCUGACAAAUUUAGAUCCAACAAUGAGUUCUCACAAAGUAUUUUCCCCCCACAAAGAAACAGAUUAAAAUAACCUGGAAACCAUCUUCACAAUCUUGUGAUAGUUGAAACAGAACGUACUUUACCAAACUUGCUGCAGAGGCUGUCCGUGUCCUUAUUUAUGCUCCUGGGUGACAAGCUAAGCAAACUAUCCACACUCUGUGAAUAAAAAAUAACGAUUAAGAUUUAUCAGUAAUUCAUAUGCAAAAUUAUGUUAGAACUUCAAAAGACGUAGGUGUCCAUGUGUAAAGACAAAAACCUAAAGACAAUAUCUACAGCCUGUGCCCAUCAACUAAAGGAGAAAGAAGACGCAAUGGAGUGUAGCCAUUGAUAUCAAUGAUCAUAAGCUAUGUCUACUAUUUUAGCAACAAUUUCGGAGUAAAGGGACUGGUAAUAUUGUGCAGAAGAAUAGGAGUAACUGCAGAGCUUGACAUAUCACAUGUACAAUGAUCAAUCGCCAUAAAGGGCUCUUUAUCCGAGAUGUACCUUACACUGAAUAGAUAGUAGUGAAAUUUAGGGAGGUAAAAUAUCUAGAAAUUCAUUAGCAUACUAGGAGUUUCUAUCUCAUUAAUGAACCAAAAAGAUCAUAUGUCCUCUCUAAAUGAAUUUAAUCCAGCAAAUAAUACACUCACAGGCAGAUCAAUCUAAACCCUCUUUCACCUCAUAUGGUACUUUGAAUCAAAAGACAACAUAAAUAAAUGCCAAGAUCAUUUAGUCAAAAAAAUUAUUUUAAAAAAAUCACAUUGUUUAAAGUAAGUAUUAGAAUAAAGACAGCAAAUGAACAAACUUUUCUUUACUAUUCUUAGAGAAGGAUCAAAAAACAAAUCAUCAUCAUCAUUUUAGCCUUUUUCCAAUUAAUUGGGGUCGACUACAUGAAUCCUGGUUCUUCAUUCCACUCUAUUAAAGGCCAUAUCCUCAAUGAGGCCAUAAGUCCCCAUAUCUUUUCAGACUACUUCCAACCAUGUCCAUGGAUCAAAAAACAAAUAAUAGUCAUAAAUAAAAGGGCCCCCAUAAUUAGAUCCGCAUGGUCAUGAUAACCAGCCCUAUCUAUGAGUUGGACAGUGAUGGAGUGGUGCCACCAAACAUGUCAUUAAUUAAUCUCUAGAGUGCACCAUCCUUCCAUCACCGCCCAAUCCAUUUGGCUGUACAGUGAUAAUCCACAUGUUCAUCUUGUUAUCAUGACCAUAUGAAUCAUAUUCCAUCUUUUCCAAAAGAAGAACAUUUGUAUGCAAUAUAUGCCACCUAUGACGGAUAAUAAUUUCUAUAUAUUUCAAUAUAGCAUUGAAGAACAAUUGUCCAUAAGCCUAGCCGAAAUAUAAAAACAAUGGUUACUAAUAUUACAGCCAAGAAAAUCAGAAUUUGAAUAUAAUAAACCAGUGUUUUUAAACUCAGCUAGCCCUCAGAACUCGGGCCGUGGCCUAGCCUAGUUACUAGGGCGAGUCCGAGUGGACAUGACCAAGUCCUCUCGAACAGGCCAAAGAGCCAAAGCACCCAAGAAACCAAGAAAAUAUCCUGAAAAACCGGUAAAAAUAAGGAAAGCAAAAAAAUGAUAAACAACAGAAAAAAGUUAUUAAAAGAUACGGAAUUUUUUUAAAAAAGUUCUAAAAAAUAGAAAACUAAGUAAAGAUCAUUUUUUGUCAGAAAAAUGAGAAAAAUCAGAAAAAUAUGUGUAUAGAAACUAACUGUUAGUCAAUUAUUCAAAGAUUUGAUCAAAUAUAAAUUCAUUCAAAUUAGUUAUAAAUCACUUAUAUAAGCCCUUAAGUUUGGGGUUCUAGGGUGCGGCACACUGCUGAGCCCAAGUUACUCGUGCAAGCCUGAGUUGACUCACCCGAGUAUGAAAACAAUAUCAUAAAUGAUUGCAUUGUGAAUUCUUCCAACCCAAAAUUGAAUGAAAUUAGCAUUUAAAUAGACAAAUAGAACUGGUUUUCUCACACUUAAAUUUUUAUUGAUUUACAAUAUACAUGAAGUUAAAUGUAGGAAAACAUAGACAUGUACAAGGACAAGGUCAUGGGAAUGGGAGAUUUCCCAAGCACAAACAAUUAUUCCUAUUUAGUCCACCUCCUCAUCAGUAGCUCAAAUAACAUUUUGAAAUGUGAUUGUUGACAUGUUGUUAAUGUCACCAAUCUCCUCCAAGAGAUCGGCAACCCUCCAUGAGCGUGUGAAGUCUUGUGCUCUCAAUAACAUUAAGUUGUCCUACACCAGAGAGAAACCCUAAAGAAAAAAAAUGAAAAAUCUAAGACCCAUCAAGAGGGCCAUUGUUUUAGCUAAAAUGUAGUAGCCACACCAGCAAAAACUUUCCGAACUUUUCCUUAGCUAUUCCAGAAAAUACUAUCACCCCAAAAGAUUCUAACCUACAAUGACAAUUGAGGUCAAAUCUGACCAGUGUUCCAAAAAUUGCCUGGCGGCACCUAGGCGGCCGGGGGGGUCCAGGCCGCUUAAUGCCUAGGCGGGUGCUCAGAACCUAGGCGGCCCAGUAGAAUAAAAAGUUGUUUUAUGGUCAGAUUUUAUGGAAAAGAAAUAAAAAAUACAGUUUGAUUCCAUGCAUUUCAAAUUCAAAAAUCAAACUUUGAAGUUUAAACUUCAAAUCAUUAGGCAUUAGAGUAUUAGACCAUACUCAUAGCAUUAGAGUAUUAGACCAUACUCAUAGUCCAUACCAUAAUCCAAACUCCAUUCACUCCAUUGUCUAUAUACAUAUAGACAUCAAUUCAUCAUCAAGAAAAUAAAUGAAAAUAAGGAAUGACAUAUAAAAGUUAGGAGGCACAUCAAAUGUCUAUAGUCCGCAAGUCCACAUACACUCCUCCAUACUAAUCUCAAAAUCUUCUAUAAAACCUCCAAUAGACCUAUAUCUAAUCUCAAUGGGUGAUGUCUACAUCGAUUUCUCGUAACUUUGAGAAAUUCUUUGAUCCUAUAGAAAUCAUAAAAAUCUAGUUUUUUGAGGUUUCUAUCUCUCUACAAUGGGCUCUAAUGGGGUUUAGGUUUAAAAUGAACGUAAACCCUAUUUUUUGCAAUCUUAUUUUUAUCAAACAACCCAAAAGUGCAUUUUUGCCCCUUGGAGGGGCGUAGGCCUUGGGCGGCAGCCCAGGGGCACGCCACCCAUUUUUACCGCCUAGGCUUGGGUAAGGAGCCCAAGCCCCCUGAACCGCCUAGGCAGCCUGGCUUGGAUCAAUGACACUGACUUCCGAGAAAGAUUUCGCCUUGCCUAAAGACAAUGUUAUGAAUCACUAUCCUCCACCGAUGAGCUAGAUCCUAUGCACUAAUUUCUUAGACCUCCUCAAGAACUGGGAUAGGAGUGGCAAUGGACCCGGCAGGUUGGGUCCAGGUCCAGGUCCGGGUCCGGAUCUAGUAAUAUGUUUUCAUGUCCCAAACUCCCCAUUUAUGAAGAAACAAAUUCUAACAUCACCACUCCCUUUUUAUUUAGUCCAAAAGCCAAGGACGAUCAAGUUUCCCUUUGCAUGCUUGAGAAAUGCAAGAACUUUAGAUAAGAGGAGUCCAAUAAUUCAAAAAUUUCUAGGCAGGGGAUUGGUCAGUCCCCAUCAAAUAAACAUGAUCACUUGCCAAAAAAAAAUCCACAUUGUCUCUCUCCAAGAUGCAAUCAACUCAGGCUAAUCAAGAAUGGGGAUUGGCCAGCCUCACCUACAUAAAGAAGCCAAAACACACAUGUUUCAAACACCUCGAACGAAUGAAACCAAGACUGGCAAGCUACUAACCAUCUCAUUGGCUCUUCCAUGGAGACAACAAAAUCCACUGAAUAAGGAGCCUUAGGAGCACUUUAAUCCCAUCAAAAACAUAGAAGGCACCCCAUGCAAGUUUUUCAAAGCCUUAGGAGCUUGUUCAUCUCAUCAAAUACAUCGAUGGAACCACAAGCAAGUAUUUCAAGUGCAAAACCACAAGCUAGUAUGUCAAGAGCAACAUUCUAAAAAUAAAGGUCUUCAUUGACUGUCUCAAUUGCACAUUUUUAUGUUCAAUUUAAUGAAUAAAUUUGAGAAGACUUAGGCAUGAAUGACCUUCUAUAUAACACAAUGUUAUAUAACCCAAGAAAUUUAUUUUCUAGAAUUUAAUCAUAGAAAACAAAAAUGGUAAAAUAAGACCAUCUCAAGCCAUCCAAGAGAAGUCAAUUCCUAACACACCUGGAAGUAAACAUCAGAUUCGUUAAACAUUGACAUUAUUACUAGUAAAUUAUUGAUAAAUAUUCAGCAUAAUGCAAGAAAAGGAAUGAAAGAGAGGGCCUAACACUAUAAUAAAAACAGAGUAUACCUUUAUGGCAUCGUAUCCACAAUGUCCUGCAAAUCCAAAUCGAUGUCAAGUUUAUGAAUACACAUGUAUAGAAGUAUCAAGCAAGUGCAUAUCAAGAAAAUUGAGAAGGAAGCAAGGAAUACUUGUACCAUUACAAAAUAAACUACAAAAUGCAAGCACUGAAAUGCAUCAUGACUUAAGAUGCACAAAAUUAAUGAUAGUAUCUAACCAAGAGCUUCCAUACCCAUGUCUGCAUCCAAAUAGGCAAAAGAAGUAAUAAUUUGUUUAUUAAUAUGUUCUAAGGAUUAUAUACAAUGCAGUAAUAAUGGAAUAAUUACAUUGCUCUUUAGAAAGGUAACAAGUAAGAUUACAUCACCAAGAUCCUCCACAUAUGGCUAUGCAUAAGAUCAUAAGACAUCAUGUUUAUGCAGGGUGUGAACUUUACCUAAAAUAAAAGAAUGAAAUUUAAAUGAUAAUAAUUAUUCCUGCUAAUUUUGAAGUAUGGAACCCACUUUUGAAAAUUGGGAAAAAAAAUUGAUGACGAAAAUAAGCAGUUUGAUUUUCUUGCUCAUUCUAAAAAACAGUAAGGCUGUUUUCCCAUAAUACCGUUAAAUAUAGAAUAUAAAAUUGCCGAGAUUUACCUAUAUCAACAGAUCAGCAAAGAAAUGGCAACUAUACAGGGAACCUUAUGUUCCUUUAUAUUUGAGCUAGAACACGAUGUCAUCUACUUGUAUAGAAAAUAAUGUCAAAGGAAUAGCGGAAUGGCAUAAAUAUACAUUUUAUUUCUUGAGGGUCAUAAUGAUCACCACUAACCAAAUGAACCCUAUGACCUUAACGUACGACAUAUACAAUCAAUCAAUGUGCAAAAGACAUACCAUUGAGACAAACAUAAUCCAAAUUAAUCACUUACCAAACAAUCCCACUAUUUAUAGUUUGAAAGAAAGAAAUCAAUAGUUGCCAAGGUAGAUGACCAUUAUUGCACUAAAAAACUAAUUUUGUUGUAUACUGAAGUGCCAGUAUUAUUUUCUCCUCAAAUUUCAAAACAAAGAAUAGAAGACACAAAAUUAAGCAAGGAAAGAUAUAACAACUUUUUUUUCACUUCUUCAACAAUAGCAUAUAAUAGAGAGUAUAACUUCUCCUUUCUACCAGUUAGAGAGGCAAACUUACUAAGAACUUUCCUAAUCUCAUUUUCGUCAAGGUGGUAGCCAUCUCCAAGCAUUGAAAUGAAAAAUUCUUCAAGGUCCCACUUGUUGGUGUUGGUAGGACUCUUCACCUCCUCAGAAAACAACGGGGGACAUUUUUUAACAUCCUCUUCUUUCAUAACUUCCUUCCCCUUCCAUUUCAAAGAAUAAUUCACAUUUUGAUUAUUUGCUCUUUGUGGUUCUCUAUGAUUAGAUCCCACAGGCCUUGUAUACCCUUUGAGCAAAACACUUGAAACAGUGCCCAUAGAGACAGAAACCUUCUUGGGUUUUUGGCUUUUCGAAUAAUUCUUGAAAUGGGUUUCAUUUUUCUUCUCAAUUACACUCAUAGGCAUCGAUUCCUGUGAUUUUGCAUCAGAAAUUACAGUGCCAUGGUUAUUAUUUUGAAGCCCAGAGAGAAUUUCAGCUGCAUCAGAAAUUACAGUGCCAUGGUUAUUAUUUUGAAGCUCAGAGAGAAUUUCCGCAGCCUUGUGCCCAUCCCCUUUAGCCUUGCAAUACGCAGAGGCUAUCUCCUUAUGUGGAACCAUUGGAAAGGCAUCGAGCAACCCGCUCAAGACUACGCUUUCGUCCUCUCCUAUGUCAAUAGACCUAUUGGCUUUUGGGGAAGAAGACUUAGCUGGAUUACCCAUGCCCAAUCCUGAAUAAAAGCGAGAGAGAGAGAGAGAGAGAGAGGGGGGGGCUUAGAACAGAGCCACAAGCCAUUGAAUGAGAAUAAUUGAUAUGUAAUUACAGAUAAUCACUGAUUUAAGAAAUCAAAAUAUGACAAAGUAAAUACCAGAACAAAGCUCAAAUGACAAAAUAAAGAUAAAAAAAUAUGGAUGCUCAGUAAAUAACAAGAACAUACAAAGAGAAACUAUCUCGAAAGCAAGAAACGAAAACAGCAAUCUCAGAAAACAAAACAUGAUUCCUAGUGUUUUGAUACUCCAACAAAUUGAUGAUAUAGAAUGACAAGAAGCCCACAUUAAAAAAAAAGAAACAGAGUUGAAUUAAGAAAUAUAAAGAAUGCCUACAAAUAAAUGGAACAAAUAAUACCCAUAAAUCAAUAGAACAAUGAAAUAAUAACUUUCAAUUCCACGAAAUGCAAGAAAUACGGGGAUUAUUUGUUGAUUAAUUAUCUACCCAUGAAAAAUAACGAAUAGGUUGAGUUAAAAAAGAUUAAAGAAUUAAGCAAUAGAACAGUGAAUUUAUACCUUUUGAUUCCACAAAAUGCAAGAAAAAAGGUAUUUGUUGAUUAAUAAUCAGAACUGAUCCAACUAUGUACAUCUAUUGUGAGGAAGGAUGCAUUAAUAAUCAAUUCAACCAAAACGCAAUUCAUAAAUGAUGCAUUAAUCAUCAAAACGUGUUAAAAAAAACCCAGUUCAGAUAUUGAUAAGAUAAUGCCUUAAGAGUGGCAGCAGAGGAGUGAGAGGGCAUACCUUAUGGGAGAAGAUUGCCACCAAGAGAGAGAGAGAGAGAGAGAGAGAGAGAUUAUGAAAACAAAGAAAUGAAGAGAUAUGAGGGAAACAGGAGGUAUAUGAAUUGUGAGAGAGAGAGAGAGAGAGAAAAGAAAUGAGAGAGAAGAUAGGCGAUAAGGAGCAGAGCAGUUUUAUGAGGAAAGAAGAGAGAGAGAGGAGGCGAAAAAUGCAGAGAUAAUAUAAAACAGUCUUAGACAGCAGGUAUGAAUCCAGGGGAUGAGAGAGAUGAGAAAUGCAAGAGAUUAUACAAUGUCUUUCCUUGAUUGGCAAAAUGCACUAUGUUCUAAACUGAGGAGUGAGAAAGUAUGAGAGAGAAAGAAACAGCAACGAUAAAGGGAAUAAGACGGCACAGAGACAGUGAGAGCAGUUGAGUUAUAAAAUGGCUCGAGGAGAGAGAAAGUGAUAGAGAGAGAUAAUUUAACUGAUAAAAAUUCUAGAGAGAGAAAUGCGGAGAAAAAAGGAUCAAAAUUCUAGAGAGAGAAAUGCCAAGAAAAGGAUCAAAAUUUUAGAGAGAGAAACGCAGAUCACGAGAACAAUAUGAAAUGAAUUUAAAAACUGAGAGAGAGAGGAAUGGAGCACAAUUUAAAAGCUUAGAGAGAGAGAGAGAGGAAUGGAACACAAUUUAAAACUUAAGAGAGAGAGAGAGAGGAAUGGAACAGUGGAAAGCGCGUUCCCAAAACAUUGAGAGUGAGAUGAAGAAGAUGUGGAAAGACAGCGAGAGAAAGUUAGAGAGAGAAAGUGUGAUCUCUAGGAAGCUGCCAUUUCGCGCUCUUUCCCCGUUAGAGAGAGAAAGGACCGUUUUAUAUAGAGAGAGAAAGUCUAGUUAGAGAGAGAAAGAGUAAACGAACCAAAUAGCUUCCACUCGAAGCCUCCCCGGCAGCGCAAAUCCAAUGGAUAUGUUUUGGUACGGCUGCAGUUCUAUAAAAACAAGUAAAGCCUCACCUCAAAACUCCACGAAUAUUGUAGUUCUACUAUCGGAAAACCUUAUGAUUGAACAUCUCGCCUUUGAUCAUGAAGUUGUGAAAAAAAAUACGAGUUUAAGUUUUGAAAAUAGUGUAUAUUGCAAUACAUUUACUAAACUUGUCAUUUCACCUUAAAAGUAAGCGUUUGCGGAUUCAUAAGAUGUUGAAAAUAUUUUCAACUGUUCACUGUUGGAGAUUGAUUUUGAAGCCAUCAUGGAGAUUUUUUAUGCCGGAAGUGCUUUCCGGAUAAUAAUUUGAGGUGUGGCUUUAUUUUGUUGCCAUAAAAACUAUGCCUUACAGAAAUUGCAUCCUUUAUCAUUGGGCACGUUUGUUUGGUGUAAAAAGAUUUUUCAAAAGAUAUUUUUAUGAGAAAACAUGUGGUAAGUGUGGGAAUAUUUUCACAUAAAUUAACAGUCAAUUAGUGUAAAAAUAUGUACGAGGGUCAAUAGGUGUGAAGAUACUCUCAGACCUAAUCACAUGAGAGAAUUUUUUCACAUAAAAAUAUUUCACAAUAAAUAUUUUUCCACAAACCAAAUUCCAAGAAAAAAAUAUUUUUAUGUCGUCGAGCAUACAUUUGCAUCUCAAAGGCGUUACAUAAAGGAAAAGGUUUUUAUAGAGCCGAGGCUCUAAACAAUCAAAUUUAAACCUACUUCAAAAAUUUCACUAGAAGUGGUUGUUUUGAUGUUCAGAUAUUUUCAAAUUGAUCAUCUCGAAAUCAAAAAAGCAUGGACAUGAGAAAAAAAUAGAUUUCAAGUUUUGGAAAUAGUGUAUUUUGUAACACAUAUUUGGACCGUCAAUUUUAAGUUUUCAUAGAUCUUUUAGUCUACAAUGUUUUUAAGGCUUUAAACUUUAUAAAUAACUAUAGAAACAUAUUUUAAGACUAUCACAAAGAUUUUCAAUAUUAAAACCACAUUUUUCCAUACUAUUUGAAGCUAGGCUCUAAUUUGAUUGUUUAGAACCUAGGCUCUACACUAACCUCACCCUUACAUACAUCUUUAAGAUGGAUAUAGAGUGUCCCUCCCAAAAAGAAAACAAUCAACUUUUAAAAAUAUUUUAUCAAAUAUUUAUUUUUUUUAGCUUUUAAAAGUUAAUGAUUUCCAUGCUAGAUAUUAUGUAUGCUUAAAAAUUUAAGUUCAAAAUCUAUCUCAAAAAACUAAUCAUAAAGGGGGAUUAUUUCUACAUAUGAGUCCUGGUACUCAUAAAAAUCAUGCCCUUUGUUCAAAAUUUAGAAUCCAUCUUAAAAAUAAAGGAUUCCGAAAAGGGAACGGAGGCAACCUUAUACAAACCACACCCUUCUUGGAUAUUAGGACAUAGAUAUCAUUUUAGGGUGAGGUUUAUAUAAGAUGUCAACCUUAUACUGUUUCUUUAAGAAACACACAUCUCAAAACCAUUCCGAAGGAUGUAGUUUUGGUACUAGAAUGCCUUAUAAUGACACAAAAACUAUUAUCACAUCUAAUUAUAAAAUUUAAAGCUACAAAAAUGAUAUAUAAUGAUAAGAUCUAUAAAUAAUUAAAAUUUUUUAAAAUGAUAAGUCUAAAUAAUACAUUACAAGAUGUACUAUUUUUGUAGUUUUAAAUCUUUUUUAUUUCCUUAUCUGUUGAAAUUAUCAAUUUGAGGGUUUUUUUAUUUUUUUAAGCAUCUUAAAAACUUUUUUGAAGGGUUUUGAAGUGCGCAUUAAUAUAAGUUUGACACUAUAUAUAUAUUUUUUACGCUUUCUUUUUUGCAUGUAAUGCCUAUAUUUUUUUGUUGUAAAAUGAUUCCGUGCUCACCUAGGAGCAUACUAUACAUUUUCUUCCCCUGAUAAAACCCUAGGUGUAUUUAGAGGUCUCUACAUUGUGGAAUUAACCUCUUAAAGCCAGCAUCUAACAUAAUAAAAAAUAAAAAUACAAAAAAAAUCGUAUUUUCUAUAUGCUUGGAAAAAUAAUAACAUCCCAUAAUUGUACAAUGAUACUCCAAUUUCUGGACAGUGAGUUCCAAGUGUUAAAAAACCCAAAACACAAAUUUUUUUUAUUUUUUAUAAUCAUCUAGUGAUUCUUAAAUGGAUAUGAAAAAUUUAUACAAAAAAAAAUCCUCCCAAGUUGAAUAGAAUAAAUGUACAAUAUGCUCCCAUGGUAGUAUAUUUCUUUUACUAAAGUAAGUCGCCAUCGGAGGUUACAUCCCACAAUUGUACGUAGUGAUUAAGUAAUCUGGUCUGAUUGAGGUAAACUCAAAAUGAUUUUGGACCUAAUUAAGUCUCAUUUUCUUUUAUUUUUUUACAAAUAAUUAAGUCUCAUUUUCUUUUCUUUUUUUUUAAAAAAACUUUUUUAUAUAUAUAAUUUUGUUUCCAUAUUCCCUAGUCCGACUCAAAGGUACGUAAGUCGGACCAAGUGACUCAAGCUCCAAAAACUCUGUUCACAUUUAUAUUUGCCUUCCUAAACCCUGAUUUCACGUCCUUAAAAAUGCUCCUGACGAAGAUUUUAGCCGAGGGAGUAAUAUAUAUAUAUAUAUAUAUAUAUAUAUAUAUAUAUGAAUGGAAAAAAGUUUAUAGAGACAAUCAACUUUGAACCUAUCUCAAAAUUUUCACUAGAAGAAGCUGUUUUGAUGCCCAAAUAUCUUCAAAUUUGUCAUCUCGACAUCAAGAUGCAUGGACACGAAAAAAAAAUGGAUUUCAAGUUUUGGAUAUAGUGUCUUUUGUAACGCAAUUUUAGACCGUCAAAUUUUAAGAUUUUCAUAAAUCUAUCGAUCUACACUAUAUUUGAAACUUUAAAUUCUAUAAAUAAAUAUGAAAAUAUAUUUUAAGAUUAUCAUAAAGAUUUUCAAUAAUAAAACCACAUUUCUCGAUACUAUUUAUAUAUAUAUAUAUAUAUAAAAGGGAAAACUCAAACUCAAAUUGCAUGAAGAAGACGUGGUACUUUUGAGAACAAAAUGCGAAGUGUCUGCUUCUAAAGAAUACCUUAUUCUUGCUUGAAGGUAAUGCCUCAUGAAAAUAAUUUACCUAAGUUCUUUAAACAAAUUAGAUAAAUAUAGUUUUAUAUGGAAAGCUACAAUAAAAGGGAGACAUUCCUAAUAUUUAGGUUCUAUCAAGCAUAGGCAUUAUUCAAAGCCUAAAUCCCUUCUCAUGGUACAACUUGAUGUUUAUUACUUCUAUCUAAUAUAACAAAUCACUCUUUUUCCCUUUCUUUCUUCUUUUUUUUUUCUAUUUUUUUAUAGUUGAGUUGUAUGAAUCGAACUUGGGAUAUAGCAUUGCUAAUGUCAGUUGAAAAUGAAGUAAAAUCAAUACUUAAAUAAUAUAUAAUUCCUUGAACAUCAAUUCUAUUAAGACAAUAAAGGGUCAAAUUCGAAAUGAAGAUAUUUGAGAAAAUUAGAUGUGGCACCAAUAAGCGAUAAGAUGAGAAAGAACAUACUUGAAUGGAUUGGCCAUGUAUGGUGCAUACCCAAUACAACACUUGUUAAGAGUUGAGUUAGUUUAAAUCGAAGGAUAAAAAAAGACAAGAUGUAGGCUCAAAAAGACAUGGUUAGAAGCAAUGAUAAAAUAUACAUAGAUUUAUGGCCUCAUUGAUGGUAUGACCCAUAAUAGAGCAGAAUGACGAACUAGGAUUCAUGUUAACUGACCCCAAUUAGUUGAAAAAAAAACUUUGACGUUGUUGAUGAUCAAAUUAUGCAUGUUUAACAUGUAAACACUUUAUUGCAUUUUAUUACUUUGGAGCAAUGGUUUAAAAAGCGGAUCGGUGACCCCGAUUGGGCACCUCAAAAAUCGAUCCUGAUCGGGAAUCGGUGGCAUUAAAGCUUAAAAAAUAUCCGAAAAAAUUAUUAAAAUUCAUUAUAAAUGUUGUUUUUUAAGAAUCCAAUAAGAAAUGAGGGUACUACAUUAUUAACUUUCAUUUUUUUCAUCAAUUUGUGAAUAUUGAGAUGCUCUUUCCCUGUAUAAACUUAAGUAUUAAAUUUGCAUCACAUAAAAGAAAAAUCAUAAAAUUAUCAUGGAUAAAAUAUAUAAUUAUACAUGGACUAUAGUAAAGAGUAGACCAAAUCAAUGAAAGAAUGACAAUUAAAAUCUCGUUUUGGCGAAAAACCCUAAUCCGCUAAAAAAACCCAAAUUAUUACAGCCUAACUAACUAUAAUCCAAAAUUAUUACAACCUAACUAAUUAUAAUAUUGUAUACUGAAAUUUAGUUUAUAUUUUAUAAUUAUUUUAUUAGAUAAAUAAUAACAAAUUAAAAAUAUUUUAUAAUAUUAUCUAAUUUGAAAUGUGUUAUUGACAAAUGUAAUAAAAAUAAUACAUUACAUGAUUUAUAAUGUAAAAAUUAAUAAAUAAAAUAAAAGAUUUGGUUAUCAAUGUAAAAAUUAAUAAAAUACGUGCAAAUUUUGGAAAUAACACUUUAAUUUAUUAUAUGCCCAAGGGGGAACAAAAGUUAGCUCAAGAAGGGAUAAACUAUUUUAUGGCCCAAGCGAGGAUUCGAAGUUGAGAAGUUAAAGCAAGUAACAUUAGUGAUAACCAUCAUGCCUCUUUAGCAUAUAUGUUUAAAAUUGCCUACUAAUAGCAUAUAUUUACAUUCUGUUUUUUUCAUUUAAUGAUGUUUGGGAAUUAUCCCACAUCGAAGGAUGAGUAUUCAAAUAUGCUAUAUAAAUAACUAUGUAAUUGGAAAAUAAACACAAGUGUGAAAACACUAGGGCAUCUGUGUAUGUGUGCAUGUGCAUGUCACACGUGUGGCACAUGCGAGCGUGGUGUGUGUGGCACGUGUGGGAAUGUGUACCGCUCGUGUCACUCGUGUGGGAGUGGUGCGUAUCGCAUGCGUGAUGCGUACACACGUGUAAAGGUGCUUUUGAGGCUAGAACGGAGAGGGAACCGGCUAGAACCGAGAGGGAACCGGCUAGAACCGAGAGGGAACCGGGUGGGAACCGCUAGAACCGGGAGAAAACUGUAGUGCCAUCAUACGAUGGACCUUAGAUGGCUUUGUUUUAUGGCUCACAACAUUAAUGACCUAAGUCCAGGAACAAAGAGUCAAAAUAGCCAUCAUAAGAUGGUCUUUAGACUCCUUCUGUUUCAAGCAGUGGUUUAAAAAACGAAUCGGUGAUUCGGAUCGAAUAUCUCAAAAACUAAUUCGAAUUGGCCAAUCGAUGAUUCGGAUCGAGAACAGGCCGAAUCGCUCGAAUUAAGCCUUAAAAAAAUUCAAAAAAAUUAUUAAAAUUCAUUAUAAAUGUUGUUUUUUAGGAAUCCAAUAAGAAAUUGGGGUACUACAUUAUUAACUUUCAUUGUUUUUAUCAAUUUAUGAAUAUUGAGAUGUUCUUUCCCUGUAUGAACUUAUAUUGACAAUUAAAUUUGCAUCACACAAAAUAAAUCAUAGAAUUAUCAUGGAUUAAGUAUAUAAUCAUAUAUGGACUUCAAUAAAGAGCUAACUAAAUCGAUGAAAAUUUGGCCACUAAAAUCUUGAAUUGGCGGAAAACCCUAAUCCUCUAAAAAAACCUAAAUUAUUACAACCUAACUAACUAUAAUAUUAUAUACCAAUAAUUUUUUAUAUUUAUUUUAUUAUAUAAAUAAUAACAAAUCCAAAAUAUUUUAUAAUACAAUCUAAUUAAAAAUGUAUUAUUGACAAUUGUAAGAAAAAUAGUAUACUACAUGAUUUAUAAUACAAAAAUUAAUAAAUAAAAUAAAAUAUUUGGUUAUCAAUGUAGAAAUUAUUAAAAUGCCUAUUAUUUUUCUUUAAUUUUUUAGGUUUCUAAAAUAAAUUAGUGGAAAAGAUUGUUAAUAGAAAGAGAGAUAUUUCAAAUGGCCUCAUUGUAUGAAUUGUAUCUUUAAAUUAAUAUUACUAAAUUUAUGUUAAAGACCAAAAUGUUAUAAAAAUAAAAAAUAUAAUUAGACCAUUUAUUCCUAGGUUGUAUUAAGAAAUACCUUUUAUUUUUUUGAUAAGAAAUACUUAUUGUGUUAUUUGUUUUUUUUUUUACAAAUAAAAUAUGAUGCUUGUUGAUUAUAUAUAUAUAUUUUUUUGACAAAAGAAGAAGAUGUUGUACUACAUUUUUUUUUGCUUGUUGUAUUAUUUUUUAUUUUUAUUUACAAGAAAAAUAAAAAAAUGAUGCUGCCAAAGUACAUUUUAUUUUUUUAUGCCUUUUGUUUUAUUUUUUUGCAAGAAAUACUUGUUACAUUACCUUGUAUUUUUUUUACAAGAAAAAUAAAAAAGCGUUGUAUUAUAUUUUUUAUCUUUAUCUUGAAAAGCCUUUUAUUUUAUUUUUUUUCUAUUUUUUUACAACAGUAUUUUCUGCAUUUGUUUAUUUUUUGACAACAAAAAUAAACAAGGACGCGCGGGGUUCGAACUCUAAACGUCCACCGAAAAUUCAGGGUUGUCAACUACCACCGCUACAUCGCCUAAUGUGAUUUAUUAGCUUCUAUAAUAAUAUAUAUUCAAUUGUCUUGCUUAAAUGUUUUUUUGUAGGAAUUAUCUCACAUCGAAGGAUGAGCGUCGCUUUGUUCACUAUAAAGUCAUGUGUACUAGAUAUUCAACUGUGCGUGUAGAAAAGUGAGGGGGCAGACAUGUUAGGUGAGUUACCAUGUGUGGAGGAUUUUAGGUACCAUGUGUUGCUCCAGUGAGGCGACCAUGAGGAGGCCACAUGUAAACCCAAAAAUUUAGGUGAGACUCACGAUUCACUAUUGGGAAUCACCCAAUUCUCUCUGGACACGGGCGAUUCUCGAUUUUAUAUUGGAACCGGCUCGGUAGCAGAUGAUUCUCAAGUCAAACCGGGCGAGUCCGGCUCGACUCGGCAAGUUUUCAAACCCUGGUUUCAAGGCUCACAACAUUAAUGACUUAAGUCCAAUAACAAACACGCAAAUUCAAGUGUCAUAAUUUGCUAUCACAUGGCACAAGGAGGUCAUAAUAACUCUUGUUCAUUCGAUUUCAAAUCGAGUGGUUGUAAUGUGUCUUUGACUGGACUCAUAAUUUAAAGAAAAAUUUAUUAAACUUCGUGACACAACUUAAGCUAUCGAAUUUGACAUCUAAUAGCUAAGAAUAUUUGUAAAAAAAAAAAAAGAAAAAGAAAAAAAAGGUCUAUAGUAUAGAAUUAAUAGCUAAGAAUAAUUGUGACCUAUUUGUAAAAAAAAAAAAAGAUCUAUGGUAUAAAAUUGCUGACUAAAAGAAAAAAUGUACAAAGAAAUUAUUUACUUUUAUUAUAAAGAGGUCAUAAUUACUCUUAUCCGAAUUCAAAUCGAGUGGUUGUAAGUGUGUCUUUGACUGGACUCAAAAAAUGUAAACUUCAUGACACACCUUAAGCUAUCUAAUUUAACAUCUAAUGGGUAAAGAUAAUUGUGACUUCCUUGUAAUAAAGAUAAAUGGUAUUAUAACAUACAAUCCCUUGGUAAAAAUAAAUGCUACUUCCAUUAUAUAUUAAAGAGAAACUUUUCUAUUGGCCAUUGGCUCUAAAAACCUCACAGAUGACCUCCCUCUCUCGUACGUACUAUUUUGAAUGUAUGGUCCGGAUGGCUUUUUGUCAUGAGUUAAACCUAUGACAGUUUCAUCUUGAUCUAAUGGCUUAAAAGUAUUUUAUUUUUAAUUUUCUUUUUACAAAUCAUAUUGGCAUCAAAUUUGACCAUAGUCAGUGGUCAUAAAACCAUCUUUAGAUGAACAUGGACCAUAGAUUUUGGGCAUCAAUACCCUGCUCCAUACUAAUAUGGGAAUGUAUACAAUAAUACCAUUUUUAUUUUAUAUGAGGAGGUCACACGGUCAUCAUUGACCAAUAAAUUUGAAAUCGAGUGGUUGAAAAUGUGUCAUUGUUUAGAUGCGAAGUCCAAACUACUUUUCUUUGAAUGUUGUGACAUAUUUUCAUAAAUUAGAUUUUACAUUAAUGAUUAAAAAUGAUUGUAACUUCCUCGUACAAAAACUAAUAAUAUAUGUGUGUGAAUGUGUGAAACAUUUUAUGAAUAAGAUUGAUACCAUGAUCCUUGCAAGGAUAGUAUUCAAGUGACCUUCCCCUAUAUUUCCACUCUUGAGUUGAGCAAUGGGCUAGGCAGCCGACUCCUGCUUUAAAAAACUAAGUCCUGGGCCACAAAUUAUGGCCCCCAACGCCGGGCUAUGUCUAGUGCCAAAAUCCUCUCUUUUUAUUUUUUCGCUGUUCCCCUUUAUUUUUUAUGUUGUUUUUAUUUUAUUUCUUUUUGACCCGACCGGGCCAUGUUCUAAUAAGGGGAAGGCCGGGCUUGGGCGGGCCAUAUGGAGCCGAGGCCGGGUCCAAGGCUGGCCCAGUCCAAACACAACGCGUUGCCACCCAACAACUAAUGCACCACAAGAGAGUUUUUUGGGUGAAUCACCGCAAGAGAGUUUUACUUAUUUUUUCCUCUGGGUGAAACCACCACACAAGAGUUGAUCAGCUGUGGGACCACAGCUCAUCACCACCGUCCAUGUUUUCCAUGGGCGGCCGAUGUUUAAUCCACUAUAAAUUUUCCCUUGUACCUAUUACAAACCCUAGAAAGGCUUAUAAAUUCCCAAAACCCCUCCACUCUGGUUUCUCUCUCCCUUCUCACUGGGUUGUGACUCAUUUAGGGUUACUUUCUCUCCCCCUCCACAACAUGAGGUCUCUCUGUCUCUCUCUCUAAAUAAUUCACUCUCUCUCUCUCUCUCUAAAUAAUUCACUCUCUCUCUCUCUCGCUCUCUCUCUCUCUAGGAUUAAACAAGAGCAUCAGUGAUGAAUAUCUCCUAUUUGUUAUCCUUGCACUUUGAUAUCCCAUGAAGAAAUCUUGAGGGGAAGAAAAGAUCUGAGAUGCUUCCUCUUUCAUCUUUUUCAUUUUUCUUCCAUAAUUUUCUCUCUAUAAAAUUUCUCUCCUAAUUUCUUUUUGUCUGUAGAUUGUUUAAUUUUUAAUCAAGGGCAAUUUUUGUGGGAUCUAUGAUGUUAUAUUGAACUGCGUUAUCUGUCUGCAAAUUCCUUGAGGAAGACUUGUAAUAAGCUGAGAUCCUGAUUUAUUUGUUUAUAUAAUUAUUUUGUAUUAUUCUAUAUACAUAUUUUGGGUUUAUUUUGUAGGUUUUUUAUCUCUACUUUUUGGGGUGUGUAAAUAUUUUGAUUUAUCAUUUCUUUUCUACUAAACCUUGUUAUUUUAGUUUUUAUGUUUUUGUGAGACUGUAGUGUAAUCCCACUCUGGAAGUGAUGGAGCUUGUUUUCCUCUCUCUCUCUAAAAUCUCAAUUUCUUCAUCAUUUAACUUCUUUCAUUUCAAUGGAUGAUGAAGACCUUAGGGCACAUCUGUUUUGUGUGAAAAAAUUUAUUCAUCUGGUUAAAUAUGAGAAUAUUUUCACACUAGUUUCUAAUUUCGAGUGAAUUUUUUCACUCAAAAAUAUGAUAAGUAAAUAGGAAGUACAUUAUACUAUGGUCUUAUUGUAAAAUUCUUAUCUAUUGUAAAAUACUUAUAUCCAAUCGAGAUUUUUUUCAUGUAGAAAUAUGAUAAAUAAAUACGAAAAAAUUUCUUUUCAUCUUUGAGUUUGGUCAAUUGAAUAAAUGCAUCCACCUAAUUUUGGUCAAGAUUAAUUGUGAUCAUUUUGUAUUAAAAAUAAAUUAUUUGAAUAUAUACUUUUCCUAUAGACAAACUUUAGAGGGACUAUUUCAUAUGGCCUUUCGGCAAGAGUAGUUUAAGUCCCUAAAUAUGUAGAUCUUAUCGUAAAAGAAGUUACAUGGAAAAUUCAGCCCAUUUUAUCAUACAACUGUAGGGUGACAUUUUUAGUGUGCAUGUUUUAGCUUCUUUUUAGAGCAAUUUAGGCAAACAUCAACUAAAAGUUUGGUUUUUUAAAAAUACCCUAAAUCCUCAUGUUAUUACACCUAUGCCUAAUUUAUUCAUAACUUGAAAAGUUAAUGAUAUUGCCCUACUUUGGCUUUGCGAAUCCAAAAUUGAACAUUUAUGUACACCUAACUUGUGAGGUAUGCAAUGAGAGUAUUUUUGGGAUUUGAAAAUCAGAAGUAUUUUAGUUGAGCAAAUAUUUGAAAACUUGAAAUUCUAAAAGCGUAUUUGCAAAGCCCAAUUUAUGGGAGAGAAAGGGAUCUCCCAUUUUCCAUCGAAAAGGGCGGACUUCCAAAAAUGAGCUUGUUUUAAUGUUAAAAAAUAGGGCAUGUGGAAGGGCAUGGGAUGCUGCCCUUCCAAAAUCUCUUUGUUCUCAAAUGUGGAAGUGAGAUGUUCUACUCCGACCUCGAAAAUCUCCCUGAUAUCAAACAUCUCCUAAAGUUUUUUCCGUUAGAACUUAAAAAAUUUCAAAGUAUUUGCCGGACUAAAAUACUUUGAAUUUUCAGGUUCCAAAGUAUUUACUUAAUUAAAAUACUUUAUAUUUUUAAAUCUAAGGUAUCCUUAAGGCUCUUUACAAUAUAAAUGCCAAACUUUGAAUUCUCAAAAUUUGAAGUGCGGCAAUAUCAUUAUUUUUAAACUUUGAAUUCUCAAAACUUGAAGUGGGGCUAUAUCAUUAUUUUUGAUAAAUUGCGAUCAAUUUGGGUACAAAAUUUAUAGAAAUUUUUAAUGACUUUAGGAGGAUAUGUUGCACUUCAUCUCCAUAUCCUACUAAAUUGAAGAAAAAAUGAAUGUUGUACUUAAUAUUUCUUGAAGUUUAAUCAUGCAAGAUGGGUUUUUGUCACCUAUUUAAUUGGAGAUUCUGAGGGCUUAAACAAAGUGGACGUCAUCGUAACAGCAGAACAGACUUUGGGCAUUUUGAUGAUUUAACUUCACUUUUUUUUUGUUCUUUUGGACACGGUUUUUAUGAGUCCAUGUAAAAAUGAGUCACCUCUUAAAACUCUAAUUUUGAGAUGGAUUUUUGGACUUAAUUUUUAAGAACAUAAUAUAAAAAGGGAGAGUUUUUUUUGCUUCUUCUAUCGCAUAAAACUUAUAAACUCCCUUUUAUCCAACCGUCCAUUUUGAAUUGAAGGCUAAGAUUACCCCAAUAACAAUGUCACGUCUCUAUACCAUUUUAUUUUAAAUUUUUUUUUUAUAAACCAUUUUGACACCAAAUUUUGGAUGUCCAUUCUUCUAUUAAACUCGUACUAGCGAAAAAUAUAAAAAAAAUAUUUUAAAUAAAAUAAAAUGAUCAAAAUACUCUUGAAAGUUUCAAAAGGUAUUUUGAUUAUUAUAUUUUAUUGAAAAAUUAUUUUUAAUAUUUUUAUAAAUGCACGAUAAUGAGAAGAUGACACGUACCAAAUUUCAUAUUCAUACAAUUUGUAUAAAAAAAAAUUAAAAAUAAAAUACUUUGAAACGUCGGAUCUAAGAUCAAACGGUGAGUAGCACUCUUAAUCAAAAUUGGACAGCCGGAUGGUAAGGGGAUGAUAGAACUUUUAUGUUGUAGAGGAAGUAUAGAAACAUUUUCCAUAAUAAAAUAUAUAUUAAUAGGGCAAGUUUUCUAUGCUUCCCCUACAGCAUAAAACUUAUAUACUUCCCUUUAUCCAACCGCCCAUUCUGAAUGGAAGGCUAAGAUUGCCCCAAUCACAAUGUCACGUCUUUAUACUAUUUUAUUUUUAAUUUUUUUUUUAUAAACUAUUUUGACACCAAAUUUUGGAUGUCCAAUCCUCUAUUAAACACACACUAGCGAAAAAUAUAUAUAUAAAAAAAUUUCCAAUAAAAUAUAAUGACCAAAAUACCCCUAAAAGUUUCAAUACGUAUUUUAGUCAUUAUAUUUUAUCGAAAAAUUAUUUUUAAUAUUUUUAUAGGUGCGCCCCAAUGAGAAGAUGACAUGUACCAAAUUUCAUAUUAAUACAACUUGUAUAUAAAAAAAAAACUAAAAAUAAAAUACUUUGAGAUGUCGAAUCUAAGAGCAAACGGUGAGUGGCUCUCUUGAUCAAAAUUGGACGGCUAAUGGUAGGGCAAUGAUAGUUCUUCUAUGUUGUAGGGGAAGUAUAGAAACAUUUUCCAUAUAAAUAACAUAAAUAUAUAAGGAAGAUACUACAAAACGCCUAUAGACGAAAAUGAACAAUGAUGACGCUUACCCUCAUCACCUUUCAAACUUCAUUGCACGAUCACAAUUGUCCGGUAGUGUUUCAAUUUUCAUUUUGUUUUACUAAUCGAAAUGAUCUGAAAUUUGGAGCGUCUGUACAUCUUAGUGAGACACACCUAAUAAAAAAAUAUGAAAAAAAUAAUUCGUAAAAUAUAAAUUAACCAAAAUACCCCCAUAAAUAUUUUGUUGUAUUUUAAUCAAUUUAUAUUUUNNNNNNNNNNNNNNNNNNNNNNNNNNNNNNNNNNNNNNNNNNNNNNNNNNNNNNNNNNNNNNNNNNNNNNNNNNNNNNNNNNNNNNNNNNNNNNNNNNNNNNNNNNNNNNNNNNNNNNNNNNNNNNNNNNNNNNNNNNNNNNNNNNNNNNNNNNNNNNNNNNNNNNNNNNNNNNNNNNNNNNNNNNNNNNNNNNNNNNNNAAUUAACCAAAAUACCCCCAUAAAUAUUUUGUUGUAUUUUAAUCAAUUUAUAUUUUACGAAUUAUUUUUUUCAUAUUUUUAUUAGAUGUGUCUUACUAAGAUGCAUACACGCUCUUAAUUUCAAGUAAUUUAAAUUUAUAAAAAAAAAAAUUGAAAAUUGAAACACUACCGAACAAAUGUGACUAUGCAGUUUGGAUGGUGAUGAGUAUAAACAAAAUCACUGUUCAUUUUCGCCUAUAUGCAUUGGCCAGAGUUUUCCAAUAUAUAUAUACACAUACGAAUAUGCAUGCAUUUAUAUACAGACAACCACUUUCUUUUCACAUAUUAGAACCAUAAUGGAUUUUUCAGUUGCCCACUACUUAUGUAACUUGAUGCAUGCAUCAAGUAGAUUGAGUCGACAAAAAAGUAAGUUUCGAAGACUACGAUUUCCAUUGCCUCCAUUGAACAUCAAUACGUCGUCGUGUUAUGUUAACCAUGAUUAGCACACUCUGCAACUCUACACCACUUUGUACAUCAUGCAUGUACACAAUUAGAGAGCACAAUGCACAGUACUACAGUAAACAUGAAUGUACAGAAUUAGAGAGCACAAUGCACACUACUAUGGUACAACAGCAUGUACACAACUAAAGAGUCGAAAGUUCCUACCCACAUGGGAAAUCUAAUAAUUGCCACCAGAACCAGAGAAUCACAUUAUUCGGCGAUCUUCAAACAAUUCCCACUCAAAGACUCUCCUCGUCAGCUCGAUAGAAGCACAACAAUUUUUGAGGAAUCACACUCUCCUGCAAAAGUGAAAAAAAGUAAAUAUAUCUAUACAUAAUUGGUCGAAUGACUCUAAGAUUUGAGAGGUCAAACAACAAACCUGACCAUCUUCUGUGGAGUCCUUUUUGAAACAAAGACCUGUGGAGCAUCCCUGAAGAGGUUCGGGAUGUGCCAUAUAUGCUUUGUGUGAUUCAACCGUUUUUAAUAACCAAAGGAACAUCUGAAAUUAUAGCCAAGCAGAAACAUAUGCAAAAUUAAAGAUAAGACACAAAAUAGUGCAAGUUCGAUAUUACCAAGUAUACUACAAUCCUGCAAGAUUACCAUUUAAACAUUUCUUAGUACUUUGUGAGCUCUUUAGAAACUAGCCGAGUUCUCACGAGCUACACCCUGAACAACUUUCUUAAAGGAAAAAAGGUUGAGCCAGUGGGAGUUACCCAUAUAUCACCAGUGUACCUUAAGCUACUCUUCAGCAUCAUUCUACUAAUGAAUAGCCAAGGAAUGUCUUUUUACCCAACAAAAAGAGACAUAGCAAAGGAAUCAAAAACUUUUUUCAAUUCUUAAACAGUAGAAGCUUUGAAAAAUGUUAAUCGUCAAUUUUUCAGGCUUUUCGGGAACUCCAAACGAAAUGUGGAGUGCUUUGACCCUCAUUUCAAAAAUUCUUUCCCACAUUUAAAAACUACUAAUAUUUUUAAUAUCCCAGAAGUUACCGAAAAUCAUGGUCGUAAUGUCAAAUUGAAGAUUCCUAAAUGAAUACCACGUAGUUCCUGGGACAACAAACCUGAUGCAGAGGAAAUCUUGGAGCCUCCAGCUUUCCCUCUUGAAUCUCUAGACCAGUGCCUUGGCAUUCUGGGCAGAAUACACGCGAAAUUUGUGAACUCAAAGACUCAUUUCCUUUUGCCUUCCUCUUUCCUCUGCCCCUCUUUGGGCUAGGUUUCACACCACAUGAUUGACCAGCUAUUAUCUCAGAUUCGCAUAAAAGAAGCCAAUGUGUGAGACAGGACACGUGAAAUAGAUGAAAUGCCUGCAAUUCCAUUGAUAAAAAAAUAACUGGAUAGCAAUAAAGGCCAAGAACUGAUUUGUACUUGUUCAAAAUACACACACACACACAGACAUAGCGAGAGAGAGAGAGAGAGAGAGAGAGAGAGAGAGAGAGACGUACUAAUAAGUAAGUAAGUACGUAAACGUAAAGUUUAAGUUUAGUAGUAGUAGUAGUACGUAAACUAAACUUAACUAAACUAAAAACGAAAAAAACGUAAACCUAAANNNNNNNNNNNNNNNNNNNNNNNNNNNNNNNNNNNNNNNNNNNNNNNNNNNNNNNNNNNNNNNNNNNNNNNNNNNNNNNNNNNNNNNNNNNNNNNNNNNNNNNNNNNNNNNNNNNNNNNNNNNNNNNNNNNNNNNCGAAGAGAGAAGAGAGAGAGAGAGAGAGAGAGAGAGAGAGAGAGAGAGAUNNNNNAGAGAGAGAGAGAGAGAGAGAGUCCAUAAUAGUAAUGAUCGAAACAAAGUUUUUGUGUAUGGAUGCAAAAUUCCAUUACAAAAAAGAAAUACCCAAUACCAAUAAUGGAUAAAAAUCACCAUAGAGCAUGUUGAGAACCAAUAAAGGAAUAAAGGGAAAGAAUCCGCAACAAUGAUGGAAAAUAAAGAUUGGCUGGGUCAUAGAAGACUUACCCCACUAGUGUUCCUACUGCUGCAAGCAAAAUAUCCACUCUUCUUAUUCAAAAGGGUUGCAACAUCUCUACCAGGCAGCAUCUGUAACUUGCAAAUCCCACAUGUUCUCUCCGCCAAGAGCAGCUUCUUUUUCCUUAAUUCUCGUCUUUGAGCUUUUCUUGAAAUAGACCUUGAGCAUUUCAACAAAUCAUUGCACUGUGUAGCCGUAAAUGCAUCACUAGCCUGACAUAUUUGCUUAUUAUAUAAUUCUCCGUCACUGAAUACAGAGGUCUCCUUCACUGAAGAAUGACAGGCAUCAUCAAUUCUUCCCUUUUUUGAUCCAUGAUUUUCAGAAUUCUCUGAUUCUGACCAAGAAUUCAAGGCUAACAUUGGGUCAGGAUCAUCCACAAUCUCCUCCCUACCCAAAUUGUCGGAGUAAGAGAAAACCAUAAUACCAUAAUCGCAUAUUAACUUCUGCUUCGAGAAAUCCUCAGUUCCCAACCAAACACACCAUAUUUUGCUAAUACUCCCAGUAUCUUCUUUGAUCCUCAACCCAACGUCCCCAAACCCAAUAGGCCGAAUCCCUAAUUGAGAAAUUUCAUCCUCAGAUAAGACGCCAGGAACCACCAUAGAAUAACUAUCAAAUUCUUUGAGUACUAUCACUUUAGAGCAUUCAUCUUGUUUGCUCAAAGUCAAUUUCAACUUCUUAUUCUCGAUAUUGAAGGUUUCAUUGUGCAUGAUGGGUAUCGUCAGUUCUUGUUUUUUGCUACACCACUCACUAAAGAAAAGAAUACCAUCAUUAAAAGGCCAAGGAUUGGACUGAAGGAGGGUAUGCUGUGCCAAAGCAUACCUCUUAGAGUGGAGGUUUCCUUUUAGGUGAUCGAACAAUGAAUUCUCAGUAUAACAAGUAGCAAGGCAGAAGGUGCAAAAGAAGAUCACACGCUUCCCUGAUUCUCUAAGCUCAAUGCCACAAUACCCUAAUCGCCGAACCUCUCGAAGAACAGCUCGGCUCGCAGCUUCUUGAAGACUGCAAUCCCGAGUCUUUGGAAACCCUAAUUCCUUCCCUGACAUCUUAAACCAGAUUUUGAUAAAACUUAACCCCACACAUUGAUGCCAAUUACAAAAAUAAAACCUAAGAAAUUACAAAAUCUUCCUCCUUAUGUUCUUUUCUGGUGUUGGGUCACCUUCUCUAUGCCUGUUAAAUCCUAAAAUAUGAAUAAAAAGAAAAUUUUAGGAAAUUGUUUGGUAACUUUUCUUGAAUGCUGUUACAGUCUAACAAAUAAUCCUUUACUCAACCAAUGUGUUUUGUGAUAUCUGGUUAAAACCUAUCGAAAAUUCAAGUAUCACACUUUCCUGCACUCUAUUCAUCAUUCAAAACAUUAUAAAUGACUAAAUAAAGAGCUAUCUGAGCACAAGUGACCUGAAAGAGAACAAGCGAAAAGCUCAAACACUCGAGUGUUAUAAAAUCACCUUCUUAUCUUGCAUUGAAAUCGGUUAAAUCCUUUGAAACACCUACACAGAUUUAUUCACUAAGACACUUCGAUGCCAUUCUCUGCACUCUGAAACUGCUUUGAUGCCAUGACCCUCCUCGAGUCUUGAUGGGUCAAAUCCACAAAUGGUUAGGACUUUCCAUCUUUCCACAUUCUUGAGAGUUGAAAACCUAGCAAGAAAGCCAAGAAAUUUGAAAUUAGCAGCGCCAAAAGCAAAAUUCUCCAUAAAUAGCAACCAUUUGAAAUUUAUACAAUAUAAAUGCUCAAAGCUCUAACUCACCCAGGUUUCUGAAAACGCUCCAACUCCACAAUGAACUUCACAAAGGAGAUGGAAGAAAAUCCUUUCCCUCUCCAAGAAUGAAACCCCGAAGGAAAAACCUCAAGAAAUUCCACCCUCUAAUUCCAACUAAACCGUACAAAUCUCCUCCAGUUUUUACAGUCAAAUCUCCACCCUAGAAAUCAAACCAACCUCCGAACUCUCUAAACCUCCCAAACCCUGAUGCCCCCAAACCCCAAAACUCUAUUCACCACCUGAAAAGCUUAGAAUUCUCUCAAACCCAAAUUCUCGAAAACCCUAGACCUGCAAUCGCGCCCUGAACAUAUACAACUCGUGGGGUCCCUCAAAAACCCUAUAGAAGCUCCAGUUGCCGGUCGCUGAUACAUGAAGGCACACUGAAACCCUAGAAAACACACUCUGGUUGAGAGAACAGACAUCAAUUCAGAGGAGGAAACUCAGAUCUCAGAGAAAAAUCGAAGCCUAUUCUCCUCUCUUUACAACUGAUCAAACGAAAUUUGGAUUGGUUUUUAUAUUAUUAAAUGCAUCACAUGUAUACACACCUGAAGGUAGUUAGAACUUAGAAGAUCUUGGUAUAUAUUCGCACCUGUAAAUUUAGUAAUUACACCCGUACAUAGCUCUUGGAAAGGCCAAGGGAUAGACCCGAUCCUGAUCCGGGUAUAGGUCCAAAUCUUGGACUCGAAUAUUAUUGAGAUUUAGGUCACGUAAUGUUUUUUUGGCUCGGGUAUGGCCCUGUGAAUUUGGGCCCGACCUAUUGCCACGUUUAUCGAUAACGCAGAGGCUUUUCGGAAAACAAAAACCUGACUUUAAAAUCUAGUAUGAAAAAUACCUCGAAAAAACCUAGAUGGCUCUCACAAAUAUGUGAACACUUGAAAAUGGACUAAUAGUAUGUAUUAUUUUUAGGGUCCGAAACUUUUUUUUCUUUUUUCGUCCAUAAUGUUAAGGUCGAGAUAAUUGAUUUGAAGGUUUUCUAACCCUAGGAGUUUUUAUUUAAUUUUGAGAUGAAGUUUUACUUUUCUUCAUGAAACCGAUUAUUUUAACUUUUUUCUAUUUUAGUUUCUAUAAGGCCCGGUCUUUUGAAAAAAGGUAAAGCCUCACCGUAAAACCUAGUAUAAUAAACACUUUGGGCAUGAAAAAUACCUACAGUGGCUCUAAAAUCUAUUUUUACUCUUUGUGAUGAAAUUUGGAAGUAAAAAAUGGAUACAAAGUUUUAAAAUAAAAGGCCUAGAUAAGCUGUAACAAUAUACAUUAUGUUUAGGGCUCGAAGGAUAGUUCUAGUGAUUAUAGAAUGUUCUAAAAAAUGGUGAGCUUAGUCGCCAGGUCUUGGGGGAAGUUCUUAUAGUGAUGUGUGAGUAUCAUGAAUGCUAUUUUAAUUUUUUCAAGUUAUUUCUCUCAUUAGAAUGAAUUGAUGUCAUUUUUUUUUUCCUUCGGUUUAGAGCCUUCAAAUACAAAACCAUAUUGCUAAUAACUUAUUAUUUCAUACAUACAAAGUCUGAAAAAUUUUGUUUUGAACUUUGAGUUUGGUCAAUUGCACAUCAACCUUUUUAUAAAUCGGUUGUGAGAGAAAUUAAGACUUUGAGUUUGGUUAAUUGCACAUCAACCCUUUUAUAAAUAGGUUAUGAGAGAAAUUAAUUGAGACUUGUGCACAUCCACCUUUUAUAAAUAGUUUGUCUCACAAGAAAUAGACCUCGAGAGAAGUACUAUUUCUAAUAAAAGAAAUUAAUUAAGACAUGUUCUCUUUGUAGGAGAUGUGCCAUUAACCAUGUUCAAAGUUCAAAGUUUUUCCUCCUGCUUGAAUGUGUCAGAUUUCACAUUUGAUAACUAGGAGUGACACUAAAAACAAUUUAAUAGUACGAAAUAUGUUUGUACAUGCUAAUCCUUGAAAUAAUGAUUCAUCUAUCUCAAUCUUGUUUUAUUUUUGUAAUGGGAUUGUUUGCAAAGAUAUCAUUUAUCUUUUGUACAUAAAAGUCAUAAUCAUUUGUGUCCUUCAAAUUUCAAAAUGGGUAGUUGUAAGAGUAUCAUUGAAUAGUUAUAAAGAUUAAAAAAAAAAUUCUCGAAUUUUGUAAUUCACUCCAAGCAUUCCAAUUCGACUUCAGUAGGAAUGAUCGUGACCUCCAUUUAACAAAAAUAAAAGUUCUCUUUAUCAGCAAUCCGUUUUGCUAUGUAGAGUUUAACCCUUCAUUCUUCACACACCAGACGUAUGAAAAGCACAAUUGGAGUCGGUAAGUCUCAAUCUCUCUCUACUACUUGCACUUUCAAAAGAAUCGGUUGAAUUCAGAAAUAGAUUAGUUGAAUAUACACAAGAUAAAUCUACAAAUUUUCUACAAAACGUGAACUUAUUUAUUGUACAAGAAGAAGUCUCAAUAAAAACUACUAUAUUUUUAUGUAAGGAAAAAGUUUAUAUAAGAUUGGGCCCCAAAUAAUCAAAUUAAGGUGCACCCCAAAAAUUCACUAGAAGAGGUUGUUUCAAAGCUAAAAAGCCCUCAAUUCGAUCAUCUCGGCGUCGAGAUGUAUGGAUAUGAGAAAAAAUAGAUUUCAAGUUAUGGGGCAUCUUGUAAUGUAUUAUUUAGACCAUUAAUUUUCAAGAAUUUUAAGCGUUUAUAUAUCUGCUCGAUCUAUACUAUUUUUAAACCUCUAAGUUUUAUAAAUAGAGAAGAAAAUAAAUUUUUAAGCCAUCACAUAGAAUUUUUAUAUUAAAACAACAUGCAUCGGCACUAUUUGAAGGUGUGCCUUACUUUGAUUGUUUAAGAUCUCGAGGUAUAAAAGCUAAGCACGUGCUAAAAAAUAUGGUUAUGGUGUUGGAAAUCCUAACAAUGGCCUAAAAAUGGAUUUUCAUACCUAAUUACAAAAUCGAAAGCUCCAUAAAUAGCGUAGACAGGCAAAUCUAUAACACUUAAGAUUUCGAAAAUAGCCGGUUUAGAUAAUAUAUUAUAAGAAUUUUUUUUAGGACUUAAAACAGUCUUUUAUUCAUUUAUUUUUUAUAUAAAUACAUUCUUGAGGUCGAGAUAAUUGAUUGCUGGGUUUUUUAAUGUCGGCUAUGUUUAAAAUAAAGGGAUCAAUGACCCGGAAUGCCUAUCCAAAAGAUCGAUCUGGAUCAGCGAAUUGGUGGUCCGGAUCAGCAACCAAGCCCAGCGAAUCAAUCAAUAAAAACAAUAGAAAAAAGUGAAAGGUAGAGCUAGAUAGUUCCCUAACAGAAGCCCGAAAUAUAAUGGGAACGGUAAUAUAAUGGGAACCAAACCGUUCCCACUUUUUCCCAAUUCGGAUUGGGCAAUGGCAUUUUUAGAACUGUGGAUGUAGGAGCAACAUUUUUCAAUGAAUCUAUGAGCUGCACUUUACUAAGGUUAAUGCCUUAUAUAAAAUUUUCUUAUAAUCAUUGCGGAAAAAGUUUAUAUAGAGCCGAGGUUCUAAACAAUUAAAUUAAAACCCACCUCAAAAGUUUCACCAGAAGAGGUUGUUUUGAUGCUCAAAUAUCCUCAAAUUGAUCAUCUCGACAUCAAGACAAUGGCCAUGGCCAGAAAGAAAAAAUGGAUUUCAAGUUUUUGAAAAAACUCAUCUUGUAAUGCAUUUUUGGACCGUCAAUUUUCAAGUUUUCAUAGAUCUACUCAAUCUACACAAUGUUUGUAACUUUAAAUUUUAUAAUUAAAAAUUAAAAUAUUUUAAGGCUAUUACAAAGACUUCUAGUAUUGAAACCACAUUUGACAAUAUUAUUUGAAAGUGUGCUUUAUUUUGAUUGUUUAGCGCCUCGGCUCUAUACAAACAAACAUCACCCAUAUUAAAAAGAUCCUACAAUAUUAAAUAGGGAUGUUAUACUCUAUUGACAUUUCCCUUUAAAAGAAAAUCACCAUCUUUCUUGGCCAUGAGAUGUAAAUCAGGCAGCAAGAAUUGUCUCAUAAAGUUCACUUUUUUUACUCUUUUUUAAUUUUUUUUAAAAUUUGAUCGCAGCCAGUGGCACUUUGAGCCACCCAAUUUCACAUCAAACGUAAAAAAUCAUCUUUGUGGUUUAUAGUGUGCGAUUUAGAAGUCAUUCAUUUCUUCUUGCUUAGCUUUCUUUAAGCUUUUAUUUUCAGCCUUCAAAUUUCCCCUUGGUAUUUCUUUAUGACCUUUUUCUCCCAAAACUUAAAGAAAAAAAAAAACUAAAAGUUCAAAGAUAUCCCAAAAAUUAUGUUUUAGAAGCUACAAUCCACUCCUCUCUUAAAUGAACUACUACAAAUGUAGAGGGUGAUUUAAUUCAGAAUUGUAACUUAUAACUCAAAAAAUCCAACACUUUCAUAAUCUACUAAAUAGUUAUUGAAUGCCUAAUAUUUAUUUGGGGAAAGUAUUAAUUCUCAUGCUUACAACUUUACUACUGAAAAACACUCAUCAUUCUCCAAAGGAAGUUUUAAUACUAUGAGGCAACCUUAAUUAGAAACAAAAAAUAGCAUGAAAGAUGACCUAAAUUUACUCCAUUCAACUAAAAUAUACGAUGUUAUACUAUUUAUCAAAACACACUUAAAAUUUCAAUUAUUCUCACUUAAGCUUGCAUUCAGAAAUUAAAUAAAAAACAAGACAUGGAAUAAAGAAAAUAUCAUACGGAUUUCCAAUUUCCAAACUUAUUUUGCAGUAAGAUUUCUUUUUUACUUUAUGUACUAUAAUAGAAAUUUUGCAUACCAAAUUUCAUGUAAGAAGAAAAAAGAAAAGAUAAAAAAGGAAAGGGAUGAGGGGCACAAUGAUAAUAUUAAGAAAAGUUUAAUACAGCUGCAGUAAAAUAAGUUUGAAAAUUGGGGUAUGGAAAAUACUUUUCUAAUUAAAUAAUUCAAAUUUCAAUGCUUUUGAUAAAAUUUUCUUCUCAUAUGCAGUAAAGACACACCGCUAAACACCUUAUUUCCAUCCAACGAUUAGGAGUGAUCGUUAUUUUCCUGUAUAAGAAUAACCUAUUUUCCCAAACUUUGUGCCAACAAAGGCCAUGGCCCCAACCAUUGAUUUUUUUAUCUCACGGCUACGAGUAAUCUUGAGAUUUCGCAAUAUAAAAGCUAUAUAUAGACUUCAUUAUCAAUAAGGGAAAAGUUUAUAUAACGCUGAGGCUCUAAACAAUCAAAUUCGAGCCUAUCUCAAAACUUUCACUAGAGAUGUCGUUUUGAAGCUUAAAUAUCCUCAAAUUGAACAUCUAGAAAUCAAAGACAAAAAAAAUGGAUUUCAAGUUUUGAAACAAUUAUAUUUUGUAUCGUAUUUUUGGACCUUCAAUUUUCAAGGUUUUUAAGUUUUUAUAGAUCUCUUACAUUAUUUUUUAAACUUUAAACUUUAUAAAUAAAAAUAAAAUUAUAUUUUAAGGCUAUAAAAAAGAUUUCCAGUAUUGAAACUGUAUUUCUCAACACUAUUCGAAGAUAGGCUCUAAUUUGAUUGUUUAGAGCCUAGGCUCUAUACAAACAGCACCCUAUCAAUAAUCAUCGUAGCUUUUUUCUAAUUCGGGUUCGUCUACACCAAUCCGGAUUCGGAUUUUUUAUGUAAUUUUUCACUCUUGUUUUUUAUUUACUCAUUUUUCUCAAUUUCUCCUAAAUUUUGAAUUAAAAAACGAAAAAAUAAAGCAUUCAAGCACAAAAAAAUAAAUUAAAGUGAUAAGAUAUACAUGCUAAAACAAAAAAACAAAAACCUAAAGGGAACUUAUUUCACCAAGACAAAUCAUUAACUACAGACUAGAAUUCAAUAAAAAAAAAAGAAAAGAAAAGAAAAGAAACAAAUCCAACCGUCGAUAACUCCAAAACAUCUAAAGAUCUACGGUGCAGAAUCUCUCUUCAUCCCCUGAUCCGAUCCGAAGGAAACCGCAUAAAAGACGGCCUUCAACUCGCCGGUAAACUGAGAAAUCGCCAGAAAACAUUAUAUUUUCGUGGGAAAACCCAUUUUCCGGCGAUCAUUUCCUGAGGUUCCUGACCUUGUACCAGCCCUUUUUGCAGGAGUCUCCCACCACUUUCAUGCCCUUCUUCAAUAGGGUUUUGAGCUCUUUCGCCCUAUCUUUCACCUGCCUCUCGAAGUCAGCCAUGGCCGCAAUCAAAUUAGGGAUUAUAGUCUUUAGAGCGCAGAAGAUUAAGGCUUGAGAAGGGAUUAGGGUUUCUCUUGUUUUAGAGAGAGAGAAGAAGAUUAGGGCCUAAAAAGCGAUUAGGGUCUCUCUGGUUUCAGAGAGAGAGAGACGAAACUGAAAACGAAGGGGCGGAGGACUAGCUAGAGAGAGAGAAGGGUUUGAGGCAUCUCUGGUUUUAGAGAGAGAGAGAAGUGAAACUGAAAAAGGGGGUAACGAGGCCUAUUUUAAGGUGGGGUGACAAACAAAGUAGACGCGUGUUCGGAAGACAUUGGGUGCUUAGCUGAUAAGGGAUUCAUUCAUAGUAACAGACUUUUAC